UGCGAUCUGACCCCUCCAGAUCUCCCCCCCGACCCGCCUCCCACCCCGCACGCCUCCCUCUCCAUCGCUACAGCCCGCCGCCUUCCCCUUCGCUCCGCCCCGACGCCCUCCCCACCCUGUCGCGCUGCCGUCCCGCAAUCCCGCCGCCGCCUCCUCGCGCGGGCGGACGGGGACCUUCACACGGCGGCGGGUUUGGAGGCGUGCUCUCUGGUUCCCGAAACCCUAACCCCAGCCGCCGCGCAGCAGAGCAGCUGCGAUACCACGUCUGACUCCGGGAUCCCCGGUGCGCGCGGUCGCCUCCCCCACACCAGUCUCCUCGGCGCGCGCCCUGAGCGCCGCCCAGCGUGCUUCGGGUCAACGACGAGCGGAGCGGCACCCGGGCCGUCGCUGUCGCGUGGUGCCGCGCGCCGGCCGGCCCGUCCCCGCAGCGCGGGAUGCGGAACGGCCGCCGCCGGGCCACGAUGCCUCGCGGAUCAACGCUGCAUCACGCACCGAUCCUGAAGGUGCCGGGUCGGAGUUUUCUCCACGCUACCGCCGGAGCUCGUGCACCGGGCGCUCGCGGCCUCGUGCACCUCCGACGUCACGGUGGGCAGCCGCGCGUGGCGGGACGCGCUGCGGCCGCUCCGCGAGGCCGCGGCGCUGCACGCGUACGGCCGUCGAGUCAAGCGCGGCCCCGUGGCGGGUGCCGCCACUCGCGGGGGCGGGGCGGAGGGCGUAUCGAGACGGAGAGGCAUCGCGCGCUGGAACUGUUCUGGCAGGCGGCGAGGCUGGGCUCCGCGGCGGCGAUGGUGGACGCCAGGAUGCUGUGCUGGGAGGAGGGGUAGUGGGAGGAGCCGUGGAGUACUACCGGAUCGCGGCAGAGCCUGGGCACCCUGUCGGAAUGUGCAACCUUGGGGUCUCAUACCUUGAAGGUACCAUGGAUUUGGCUCAGUGGAAUUAGCUUUCUCUUGGAGACUCGUUCUCGGUGGUUGUAGAAAGAUUUGGAAUUCAGGGCGGAUAUGGCUUGUUCACAAUUGUCUUAUAUUCAAUGGGCAUUAUCAGUUUUGUUCCCAGAGCAGUUGGAAUCAUUCAAUAUUUUAGGGGAAUGAAGCUUUGUCUGUGCUCUGUCGCAUUUAUCUCUUGCGAUUCAUUGUUUAGGCCCAACUCUAAACUUUGCAUAGUAAUAAAGAACCAACCAAUACUUGAUCAGCUUACUCAAGCUUGUUAUUCCUUUGUUAGCAACCAAUUGUCUUGUUUGUUCCAAGGAAUUGCACCAGAUAUUGCUGCCAAAUAUUUCUGCAGCUGAUCCACCUAAGGCUGAGCAAGCCAUCCGAUGGUUUUAUCCAUCUGCAUCAGCAGGCAAUGCUUGUGCUCAAUACAACCUAGGCCUUUGCUUGCAGAAUGGGAAAGGGAUCAAGCGUAAUCAGAAGAAGCUUUUGUUUCGUGUUUGUUGAAAGAUGAAUCACAGUGUGCCCUGGCCUGCCACCGAAGAUCUCGCUCUGCAACUUCCUCUCCGAUCAGAUGCUUCAUUCACCCAUCGCCCUAGGGCAUCAAAGCCACAGAGUCGCGAAAGGACGGCAUCGCAAUUGCCGAGUCCACAGCGGCAGCUGAUCCAUCCCCAAACACAAUGCAGGCACAGACGUAUGAUUGAUCAAUUUGGAGGCACGACACAUACAAAGCUGUGGCAGUAACAAAUCCUAAAUUAAAGGACAGUAGGUAGGAAUGGAUCACCAGCCAUCCCAGGUUUAGUUCACCAAGGUACACUAAUAAGCUAGGUUUUACUUCACUAGCCUUCCUAGGUUUUAAUUCACCCAUGAGAUUGGCCAUAAUUUUUGACAAUCAAGUUGUGCUAUGGUGUCUCCAAGAAAUCCAAUUCUGAUAGCAGUAAGACUCUGGGAAUAAGGGCAAAAGAUUGGAAAGGAUGUGCAUAGUGCAGCAGUAAUAUGGCAGAGUAUAGUUGGGUUCAUUUCUUUUUUGUAUCGUGAAACGUUAGUGAUCUUCAGUUACCUCUUGUUAAGUUUACAUGCAUUUCUUCAUUUUGUGUUUUCAAAAGGAUUAGGUAAUAAGGUGUUCCUGUAAUGAUGUUUUGCGUAAGUAGCAUUUGCUUGCUAGAAAAAACAUACGUCGUCCUUUGAUACGAUGAAUGUUUGCUUUAAGAGUUC